rnacentral:rRNA from 1 species
GACGAACGCUGGCGGCGUGCUUAACACAUGCAAGUCGAACGGAAAGGCCCUGCUUGCAGGGUACUCGAGUGGCGAACGGGUGAGUAACACGUGGGUGAUCUGCCCUGCACUUCGGGAUAAGCCUGGGAAACUGGGUCUAAUACCGGAUAGGAGCCAUUUUUAGUGUGAUGGUUGGAAAGUUUUUUCGGUGUAGGAUGAGCUCGCGGCCUAUCAGCUUGUUGGUGGGGUAAUGGCCUACCAAGGCGGCGACGGGUAGCCGGCCUGAGAGGGUGGACGGGCAAAAUGGGAAUGGGAUACCGCCCAGACCCCCUCGGGGGGCAAGCGGUGGGAAUAUUUGCACAAGGGGCGAAGCCUGAUUCCGGGACGGCGGGGUGGGGAUUACCGCCUUUCGGUUGGUAACUUCUUUCCCUAGGGAACAAGCUUUUUGUGACGGUACCUAGAUAAGAAGCCACGGCUAACUACGUG